rnacentral:rRNA from 1 species
GUGGGGAAUUUUGGACAAUGGGCGCAAGCCUGAUCCAGCAAUGCCGCGUGCAGGAAGAAGGCCUUCGGGUUGUAAACUGCUUUUGUACGGAACGAAACGGUCCGGGUUAAUACCCUGGGCUAAUGACGGUACCGUAAGAAUAAGCACCGGCUAACUACGUGCCAGCAGCCGCGGUAAUACGUAGGGUGCAAGCGUUAAUCGGAAUUACUGGGCGUAAAGCGUGCGCAGGCGGUUUUGUAAGACAGGCGUGACAUCCCCGGGCUCAACCUGGGAAUUGCGAUGGUGACUGCAAGGCUGGAGUGCGGCAGAGGGGGAUGGAAUUCCGCGUGUAGCAGUGAAAUGCGUAGAUAUGCGGAGGAACACCGAUGGCGAAGGCAAUCCCCUGGGCCUGCACUGACGCUCAUGCACGAAAGCGUGGGGAGCAAACAGGAUUAGAAACCCCGGUAGUCC